rnacentral:rRNA from 1 species
CCUACGGGUGACAGCAGUGGGGAAUAUUGCACAAUGGGGGAAACCCUGAUGCAGCAACGCCGCGUGAAGGAAGACGGUUUUCGGAUUGUAAACUUCUGUUCUUGGUGAAGAAUCUUGACGGUAGCUAAGGAGCAAGCCACGGCUAACUACGUGCCAGCAGCCGCGGUAAUACGUAGGUGGCAAGCGUUGUCCGGAAUUACUGGGGGUAAAGGGUGCGCAGGCGGGAAGUCAAGUCAGCUGUUAAAUCCACGGGCUUAACUUGUAGACUGCAGUUGAAACUGGUUUGCUUGAGUGAGGUAGAGGUUGGCGGAAUUCCGGGUGUAGCGGUGAAAUGCGUAGAUAUUAGGAGGAACAUCGGUGGCGAAGGCGGCCAACUGGGCUUUAACUGACGCUGAGGCUCGAAAGUGUGGGGAGCAAACAGGAUUAGAUACCCGUGUAGUC